rnacentral:rRNA from 1 species
CCUACGGGAGGCAGCAGUAGGGAAUAUUGCUCAAUGGGGGAAACCCUGAAGCAGCAACGCCGCGUGGAGGAUGACACUUUUCGGAGCGUAAACUCCUUUUCUUGGGAAAGAAUUAUGACGGUACCCAAGGAAUAAGCACCGGCUAACUCCGUGCCAGCAGCCGCGGUAAUACGGAGGGUGCAAGCGUUACUCGGAAUCACUGGGCGUAAAGGACGCGUAGGCGGAUUAUCAAGUCUUGAGUGAAAUCUAACGGCUUAACCGUUAAACUGCUUGGGAAACUGAUAAUCUAGAGUAAGGGAGAGGCAGAUGGAAUUCUUGGUGUAGGGGUAAAAUCCGUAGAGAUCAAGAAGAAUACCCAUUGCGAAGGCGAUCUGCUGGAACUUAACUGACGCUAAUGCGUGAAAGCGUGGGGAGCAAACAGGAUUAGAUACCCCAGUAG